rnacentral:rRNA from 1 species
UACAGAGGUGGCAAGCGUUGUUCGGAAUUACUGGGCGUAAAGGGCGCGUAGGCGGUUCGUUAAGUCCUGUGUGAAAGCCCCCGGCUCAACUGGGGAGGGUCACGCGAUACUGAUCGACUCGAAGGCAGGAGAGGGUAGUGGAAUUCCCGGUGUAGUGGUGAAAUGCGUAGAUAUCGGGAGGAACACCAGUGGCGAAGGCGACUACCUGGCCUGUUUCUUGACGCUGAGGCGCGAAAGCUAGGGGAGCAAACGGG